GGCUGUGUGGUCUAAUGGUUAUGACGUCUGCUUCACAUUGUGUGCGUACGCUGAAGGUUCCCGGUUCGAACCCGGGCACGGUCA